rnacentral:rRNA from 1 species
UCUUGGUCAUUUAGAGGAAGUAAAAGUCGUAACAAGGUUUCCGUAGGUGAACCUGCGGAAGGAUCAUUACUGCUUGCUCAUGGCCGCCUGGAGUUCUGCUCCGGNNNNNNACGGCAACACUACCCUUGUCUAUACAUACCUUUUGUUAUUUCCCUCGGCGGGGUCACACCCGUCGAUGGGGACACUAUAAACCCUUGUAUCUUAAGCAUCAAACUUCUGAAACAAAACAAAAUAAUCACAACUUUCAACAAUGGAUCUCUUGGUUCUGGCAUCGAUGAAGAACGCAGCGAAAUGCGAUAAGUAGUGUGAAUUGCAGACUUUAGUGAAUCAUCGAAUCUUUGAACGCACAUUGCGCCCCUUGGUAUUCCAUUGGGCAUGCCUGUUCGAGCGUCAUUUACACCCUCAAGCCUAGCUUGGUGUUGGGCGUUGUCCGCAAGGACUCGCCUCAAAUUCAUUGGCAGCGGCAUCGUCAGCUUCUCGCGCAGCACAUUGCGCUUCAGAAGGCUUCUGGCGGGCUCGCGUCCACUAAGAUACCACCCAGUUUGACCUCGAAUCAGGUAGGGAUACCCGCUGAACUUAAGCAUAUCAAUAAGCGGAGGAA